CCCCCCCCCGCCUCUCGGCGUUAUCGGAAAGUUUGCAGCGUUUCCCGCGCGGCGCGGGGAAGGCCGGACCUGCGGUGGACCUGGCACCUGUCGCUGCGCCCAGGAUUAGGAGCACCCAGGACGAGGCGGCCUCCCAGUUGCUGGCCGCUUGCUUGGUGUGGCCCUGGCACCUGGGUACAGAGGAACCAAGGGGUGAGAGGGAACUCGACCUUGGACGGGAGGCGCCGUGGGUUCUUCCAGAAUUCUGUGAGGAAGGUGGCUGACUAGGACAAAGACGAGAUUCUCCGUACCAGAGGCCAGAGAGGUUCUGCUUCCAGCUCCUCAUCGGAAUGCUGACCAGAAAGAAAUGAAAUUAAUCUCUGACCCCGUCUGGGUAACACUGGAAAUUCAUCACAUAUCCUUUUAAUAUUGAAACACAGCACAGAAUUUUAAUAGAAAAUAUUGUUUUUCCAAACCUCCAGUCUUUAUUAAUGCCCCUGGGCAGGGAAUGAUAUUGCUGGCAAUAUAGCAG